UACGGAGGGGGCUAGCGUUGUUCGGAAUUACUGGGCGUAAAUCGCACGUAGGCGGCUUUGUAAGUUAGAGGUGAAAGCCCGGGGCUCAACUCCGGAAUUGCCUUUAAGACUGCAUCGCUAGAAUUGUGGAGAGGUAAGUGGAAUUCCGAGUGUAGAGGUGAAAUUCGUAGAUAUUCGGAAGAACACCAGUGGCGAAGGCGACUUACUGGACACAUAUUGACGCUGAGGUGCGAAAGCGUGGGGAGCAAACAGG
rnacentral:rRNA from 1 species